UUUACCCCGGCCCUCUGAUCCUGGCACUGCCCACUCUUCAUGGCGGUAGCAGCCCCCUGCCUGCUGCCACACUUUUAAGUUGAGAAAAGGUGCUGUUCCUACAACACAGAUCAAGCCACUCCCUUGCUUGAAACACUCCAGUGGCAGUCCACAGCUUCUGGGACAAGAGCCAGCCUGUCACCCAGAGCAGCCCCAUCUGCUUCUCCAGCCUCACAGCUGUCCUCGUUAUUCUCAGAUCCUGUAUUUGCGAAUUUGCCUCUUUGAUAAAAUGUGCUUGUAAG
rnacentral:lncRNA from 1 species